AUUGAACGCUGGCGGCAGGCCUAACACAUGCAAGUCGAGCGGAGCGGCGGACGGGUGAGUAAUGCCUAGGAAUCUGCCUGGUCGUGGGGGAUAACGUCAGGAAACGGGCGCUAAUACUGCAACCUAUUAGAUGAGCCUAGGUCGGAUUAGCUAGUUGGUGGGGUAAAGGCCUACCAAGGCGACGAUCCGUAACUGGUCCGAGAGGAUGAUCAGUCACACUGGAACUGAGACACGGUCCAGACUCCUACGUGAGGCAGCAGUGGGGAAGAUUGGACAAUGGGCGAAAGCCUGAUCCAGCCAUGCCGCGUGUGUGAAGAAGGUCUUCGGAUUGUAAAGCACUUUAAGUUGGGAGGCGUUACCAACAGAAUAAGCACCGGCUAACUCCGUGCCAGCAGCCGCGGUAAUAC
rnacentral:rRNA from 1 species